rnacentral:rRNA from 1 species
AAGUCGUAACAAGGUCUCCGUUGGUGAACCAGCGGAGGGAUCAUUACCGAGUUAUACAACUCAUCAACCCUGUGAACAUACCUAAAACGUUGCUUCGGCGGGAACAGACGGCCCUGUAACAACGGGCCGCCCCCGCCAGAGGACCCCUAACUCUGUUUUUAUAAUGUUUUUCUGAGUAAACAAGCAAAUAAAUUAAAACUUUCAACAACGGAUCUCUUGGCUCUGGCAUCGAUGAAGAACGCAGCGAAAUGCGAUAAGUAAUGUGAAUUGCAGAAUUCAGUGAAUCAUCGAAUCUUUGAACGCACAUUGCGCCCGCCAGUAUUCUGGCGGGCAUGCCUGUUCGAGCGUCAUUACAACCCUCAGGCCCCCGGGCCUGGCGUUGGGGAUCGGCGGAAGCCCCCUGUGGGCACACGCCGUCCCUCAAAUACAGUGGCGGUCCCGCCGCAGCUUCCAUUGCGUAGUAGCUAACACCUCGCAACUGGAGAGCGGCGCGGCCAUGCCGUAAAACACCCAACUUCUGAAUGUUGACCUCGAAUCACGUAGGAAU